ACAGAAGACGAAGAGCUGGAAUAGAGCUCGCCUCGGCUCUGCUGGCCUUGGCUGCAGCUCUUCCAGAAACCCGGGGCGCCCACAGAAGAAUCUCUUACCUGGCUCUCUCUUCAGGGAUGACAUCAUCGGCUCACACCAGUCUUCCAGGACCACCUUCUGGAUGCCAAGGCUGCUGCUCGAGUACCUGCUGUGCACCUCUACCUCCUGAGCCAAGGAGCACGGAUUCCAGGAACCCACUACCAUACAGAGCAACUCCUUGUGGACCCCCCUGGGAUCAGGACAGCGAGGGACAAGCGACAAAGAGGAUCAUCAGUGGCCAGCUAGUUUCUCUGGGGUUCAAACCUUGAACCAGUGCCCUAGUGAGGGGGCACUGGCCAUGGCCCUUGACCUUUGCUCUGCUUGUGUCUUGAGUCUGAGCCCUUUCCUGUACAUCUGUGCUCGUGUUCAUCUGCUAGUGAACUGGAGUGCUGCCCUCCCCGAGGAGGGUCGUCCCUUGUGACUGAUCAUGCUGUCCUAACAAUGUCCUGAGCAAAAGGGUCCCUUUGGGAACCUCUCAGGAGGGGGACCCGGGUCAGGGGCGACCAGCAUCUUGCUGGCAACUCCGUGGGUGGGGUGGGGUGGGGUGCUUCCUUCUGGAAUGAGCACGUGGCUGACCCCCCAAGGCAUGUCCCCUCCCCCUCCUCCACCCACCUUCUCGGAGAUGUCCCUUUUGGGGUAGUGGGGACAUUAGGAGCAACCUCCUAGGGUUGUUGUGAGAAUUAAAUGAACUGCAGCAGCCUGAGGCAGGGCUGGGCAGAGACCUCAGCACAUGUUUGUUGAAAGGUUUGCAGGUGGAUCUAGUCCUCCCGUUCAUGGCUCAUGUGUCUCAACCAUUCUCUCGCAGACUCCUGCAGCCCCUAUGCCCAGGGCUCUCCUUGCGCCAGAGGUAGGUGGGAAAGAGAACUGGGAGAGCCCGGACUCACUCAUGAGAUUGAACUUAAAUUCACACGGAGGACACUUGGACUCUUGCCACAUUAGCCCCGGCUUCUCGAGGCCUGUCUACACUCGCUGCUUUCCUUCCUCACCUCCAAUUUCCCCUCCAACCCACUGCUUCCUGACUCGCUCUUCUCCAUCGAACGGCUCUCGCUCAGGUUUAAGGCUUGGCUUGCUGGCCCUGGAGAUCCCGUCGCCGUCUUCGUCGAACUCGAAAUCCUAGCCAUCGUCCUUCCCUGGCCUGUCGCGUCUUCCUGUGCCAUUUGCUGUUGUGCUCAGGUUCCACGAGCUGCCCAUCUCCACAGAAGAGCAGCUGGCAUUGCCCACCGGCCAUGCCGGCUGAAGAAAAGAAGACUGAGGACCCCAGGAUGCCCAGCGCGAGGACCCCAGGAAGCCCAGCGCGAGGACUCCACCCACGACGCCCAGCGCGAGGACUUCACGCACAACACGUUGCAACCCUCCUGGAUUAGGGUGAGUCACUUGCGCCGGUAAACACAACUUUGUUAGAAUCCACUAACAUUACAUCUUCACUUUAGAAGUUGUACAGGGGGAGGGUGCACCUUACCAAGCGCCGCACACUCGCCUGGACGCUGCCUGGAGCUGAGAGAAAGACUGUUGCCACGAGACAGCACGCGUGGGAGUCCCUCCUGGACCCUGUCUAGCAGGGACCAGAGACGCCAAAGCCAUCAUCUGGAAUCCUGCGUGGGACCCUGGACACACGGACACAGACACCUGCCCCCAGGACCCUCCAACUGUAAAUCCCUCUACAGCCACGGGGACGCCUUGCACAUUUCCUGUGGGACAUGCUGGACCCAAGACUCUGGACCCUGGCCUCCCCUUGAGUAGAGAGACCCACCUACUGACUGAUGAACUGCGCUGACCCUGGGGUCAGGCAUGUGGCCUUGAUCCCUACCCAUGGACCCUGAGACUUGGGGGGGUGGGAGAAAGGCUGUUGUGUCUUCACUGUUGAGUCUACAUCUGUGAAAUGGGCUCAGGUUCCUACCUCACAGGGCUGUUGUGAGGCAGCCGCAAUGUGCUUAGAAGCAUGGGGCCUAGUGGCUCAUGGUGCUUUCAAUAAAUUUCUUGUUUUAACUAAAGCA
rnacentral:lncRNA from 1 species